ACAUGAAUAAUAAAAAUAUGUAUUUAUUAAUGAUAGAAAGAGCUGGUACAAUGCUCAGACCUACUGCAGAGAGAAAUACACCGACCUGGUCAGUGUGAGGAACCAAACUGAGAAUGACGAGAUCUGUAAAGUGAUUAAAUGUUCAGACAGUACAAAUGUUUGGAUCGGUCUGUUUAAUGACUCCUGGAAUUGGUCAGAUCAGAGAAACUCCACAUUCAGAUACUGGAACUCUGACAAACCCAGUGAAGGUUUGAACUUUGCUGCAUUGUCUGAGUCUGAGCAACGUUACUGGACUGAUGUGAACUGCACAGAAAAACUCCCAUUCAUCUGCCAUGAGAAUAAACUGAUCCUGAUUAAUAAGAAUCCGACCUGGCAAGAAGCUCUGAUAUACUGCAGGAACCGUCAUCAUGACCUGGUCUCAGUUCGCUCUGAGGAGAUGCAGCUCUGGGUGAAGGAAGUGACUCAAAACGCCUCCACUGAACACGUGUGGAUCGGCCUGCAUCACACCUGCGCUCUGGGCUUCUGGUACUGGGUGAAUGGAGAGAUGAUCUGCUGGAGGAGAGCAGAAGUGGAUCAGCCUGCCUCAGAGCCAAACACUCAACUUUAUCUGCUCUACCUGUGAAGAAAUCCUCCACAGAACAGAAAAUCCAAAAUAUACGGGCCUGCAACACCCCCCACAAACAGGAAGUGGGGUGACGUCCUCCACGGAAACAAAAUGUGAAGCGACGCCUCCCACCGGACAAAUGCUGGGCGAUGUCACAGGACACCAAAAAAACAAAACAAAACUUGGGCUGGCAACAUGGCCCGCAGCCCGGAAGUGAGGAGCGGCGUCCCUCACCGAAAAAAUGCGGACCGAUGUCACCAAACUCGCAAUGUCCUGGGGAGAAAAAAAAACAAAACAAAAAAGCUCCCACGAUAACCGGUCCGAGCUGCUAUCCUGCUGGGUCCUGGUGUGGCGGAAUCUUCUGUCAUGACGCGGGGCAGGAAGUGGACCCAGACGCAGGAUAGCAAAACAAAACAGGGUUUAAUAACAAAGGGAACA